GCCCGCUACAGAAACUAAAGGAAGUUGACGGGGGCCCGGCACAAGCGGUGGAGUAUGUGGUUUAAUUCGAUGCAACGCGAAGAACCUUACCUGGUCUUGACAUCCCGGAGACCCUUAGGAAACUAGGGGGUGCUUCCAUCUGGAAGAAUCUGGAGACAGGUGCUGCAUGGCUGUCGUCAGCUCGUGUCGUGAGAUGUUGGGUUAAGUCCCGCAACGAGCGCAACCCUUGCCUUUAGUUGCCAGCAGUUCGGCUGGGCACUCUAAAGGGACUGCCGGUGUUAAACCGGAGGAAGGUGGGGAUGACGUCAAGUCCUCAUGGCCUUUAUGACCAGGGCUACACACGUACUACAAUGGCCGAUACAAAGGGCAGCGACACUGCGAGGUGAAGCCAAUCCCGUAAAAUCGGUCUCAGUCCGGAUUGGAGUCUGCAACUCGACUCCAUGAAGUUGGAAUCGCUAGUAAUCGUGAAUCAGAAUGUCACGGUGAAUACGUUCCCGGGCCUU
rnacentral:rRNA from 1 species